UACGGAGGGUGCAAGCGUUGCUCGGAAUUACUGGGCGUAAAGCGUGCGCAGGCGGCGCAGCAAGUCAGACGUGAAAGACCGGGGCUCAACCCCGGGGUGUCGUUUGAAACUGCUGUGCUUGAGUACGGGAGAGGGGUGUGGAAUUCCCAGUGUAGGAGUGAAAUCCGUAGAUAUUGGGAGGAACACCAGUGGCGAAGGCGACACCCUGGCCCGAGACUGACGCUCAGGCACGAAAGCAUGGGUAGCAAACAGG
rnacentral:rRNA from 1 species